UACGUAGGGUGCAAGCGUUGUCCGGAAUUAUUGGGCGUAAAGAGCUCGUAGGCGGUUUGUCGCGUCUGCUGUGAAAACUCGGGGCUUAACCCUGGGCCUGCAGUGGGUACGGGCAGACUAGAGUGCGGUAGGGGAGACUGGAAUUCCUGGUGUAGCGGUGAAAUGCGCAGAUAUCAGGAGGAACACCGGUGGCGAAGGCGGGUCUCUGGGCAGUAACUGACGCUGAGGAGCGAAAGCGUGGGGAGCGAACAGG
rnacentral:rRNA from 1 species